rnacentral:rRNA from 1 species
ACGGAAGGCAGCAGUGGGGAAUAUUGCACAAUGGGGGAAACCCUGAUGCAGCGACGCCGCGUGAAGGAUGACGUAUUUCGGUAUGUAAACUUCUAUCAGCAGGGAAGAAAAUGACGGUACCUGACUAAGAAGCCCCGGCUAACUACGUGCCAGCAGCCGCGGUAAUACGUAGGGGGCAAGCGUUAUCCGGAUUUACUGGGUGUAAAGGGAGCGUAGACGGUAUGGCAAGUCUGAAGUGAAAGCCCGGGGCUCAACCCCGGGACUGCUUUGGAAACUGUUAAACUAGAGUGUCGGAGAGGCAAGUGGAAUUCCUAGUGUAGCGGUGAAAUGCGUAGAUAUUAGGAGGAACACCAGUGGCGAAGGCGGCUUGCUGGACGAUGACUGACGUUGAGGCGCGAAAGCGUGGGGAGCGAACAGGAUUAGAUACCCUGGUA